GCCGCGUGCGGGAUGACGGCCUUCGGGUUGUAAACCGCUUUCGCCUGUGACGAAGCGUGAGUGACGGUAAUGGGUAAAGAAGCACCGGCUAACUACGUGCCAGCAGCCGCGGUGAUACGUAGGGUGCGAGCGUUGUCCGGAUUUAUUGGGCGUAAAGGGCUCGUAGGUGGUUGAUCGCGUCGGAAGUGUAAUCUUGGGGCUUAACCCUGAGCGUGCUUUCGAUACGGGUUGACUUGAGGAAGGUAGGGGAGAAUGGAAUUCCUGGUGGAGCGGUGGAAUGCGCAGAUAUCAGGAGGAACACCAGUGGCGAAGGCGGUUCUCUGGGCCU
rnacentral:rRNA from 1 species